rnacentral:rRNA from 1 species
UACAGAGGUCUCAAGCGUUGUUCGGAUUCAUUGGGCGUAAAGGGUGCGUAGGUGGCGCCGUAAGUCGGGUGUGAAAUUUCGGAGCUUAACUCCGAAACUGCAUUCGAUACUGCGGUGCUUGAGGACUGGAGAGGAGACUGGAAUUCAUGGUGUAGCAGUGAAAUGCGUAGAGAUCAUGAGGAAGACCAGUGGCGAAGGCGGAUCUCUGGGCCUUACCUGACGCUCAGGUGCGAAAGCUAGGGGAGCGAACAGG